rnacentral:lncRNA from 1 species
GAAUAUAUUUUUUAUCGUGCGUAAGAGUAUACAUAGUCAUUGGAGAAACAAACAACUGUAAUGGAAACAUCAUCGUAUAGAUGACGGAAAUCAGUGUGUGAACAUUGCAGAGUUAGAUGGUUAAUAUCACAGAAAUUGAUGGUUGUAGCAUGUGCGCUUAACAAUUUGUUGAUCCCGUUGAAGGAAAAAUAAAUAUAAUUAAUAGUAGCUAUUGGAAUACACAAGAAAAUACUAACUCAAGUAAGGUAGAAGCCUGGUCUAAGUAAUAACAUAGUGAAUAAAUCAGACAGUGCAAAAAAAAAUGCCAUCGUACUACCAGAGCAGAAAUAUAUAUGAAACUGUUAUGACCGGUAUUCAUUAUAACCAGAGGGGGCCCAAGGGCGCAACCACUUAAAGGCCUGGCCCAACUUAUCUUAUUGUUAUUAGGGGCUUAGCCUAGUUUAUCGUAUUUGUUAGGCUAGGGAGAUUAUAUAUAGUCAUGUAAGGACUCCGUUUUGGUUAAGCAGAAGCAAUCAUAUGUUCUCGGCUCCCACAGGAGCCGGCACCCUAACCCUAGCCGUCUCGAUUCUCUCUCUCUCUCUCUCUUGCGCGCACGCGAUCACUGUGUCCCGCCGCCGGCCGCGUGCCACGCCCCGCCAACCUCUCUUCCACCCAUAUAACCUAAGACCUCGCGCUGGUAGGGAUCCUAUUCCUAUCAGGAACUCUUAAUCCCAACUUACCAAAGAAACUGCAGGUUCUUAACUAAUCAAAAUCCAUCAUACUACCAGAACAGGAAAAAUGAGGAAUCAAAUUCUUGGAGAACCUCACAAGGACCAUCCAUCACGUCCCAAUUUCGCGGAAAAUAGGCAGAUCAAAAACAAGCUCUCAUAACAUUGCUCAUCAGGCUCUAACCUCUGAAUUUGAUUGUGUCCUCUGCUAUAAUUGUUCAGCUCAUAGAGAUAGCGCUUGUAGGAUCAUAAAUAGGACCAGGAAUUCAAAUGUUUAGGCCUUAGGAUCCUUGUGUCAUACAUUUUCUUUUCCCCUUUCUCUAAAUUGAUUGGACCAUUAUAAAAAGAGGGGCUAGCCAAUUAACCUAAAAAUGACAUAUGUUGGGUAUAAGUUUCUACCCUUGAAGAAACCAAUAGUAAAAACAUUCGAUGCAAACCUGUAGUUGCUUCACUUUUAACUUGUCUCGCGGUGACGGGUGGGCUGGUCGAGUAUGUGAUCGUCUUCCUAGAAUCCCAGUCAUCAAGGAUGUCUGAAUGUUCAUCCUGUCAUUUAAUUUGGUCGAUUGUUGAGCCAUGAACAAAAAGUAUAACCGGAUAAUUAUACACGUCAUGAUUGUAUUUUGAUAUGCUUAUGAGAUAACACAUGUACCUCUCACAUACAUCCAACUAUCGGUCAUCAUAAGGUUCAUGUUC